UACGUAGGGGGCAAGCGUUGUCCGGAUUUAUUGGGCGUAAAGAGCGUGUAGGCGGCUUUGCAGGUCCGCUGUGAAAACUCGAGGCUCAACCUCGAGCUGUCGGUGGAAACCGUAAAGCUAGAGUCCGGAAGAGGAGAGUGGAAUUCCCGGUGUAGCGGUGAAAUGCGCAGAUAUCGGGGAAGAACACCCGUGGCGAAGGCGGCUCUCUGGGACGGUACUGACGCUGAGACGCGAAAGCGUGGGGA
rnacentral:rRNA from 1 species